AGUGAAAGGACUCUGAAGAGGUUAGUUGUGGGGUCAAAGAGAUUGUUAAAAUAAUGGCCUUCUAGGAAUCUUUCCUCCCUGGGUUCUUUUUUGCAGGGUGACUGUCACUACUCUCAUCACCCGACAUCUGUUUCCUAAUCCCUUGAAUCUGGGCUGGCCUGGAAUUGGUGUUGAUCAGAGAAUGCAAUGACAUGAUAUUAGGUGACUUCCAAGGCUAGGACUUAAUAGCCCUUGCAGCUUCUAGUCCUGCCACUCUACCUGAGUGCCACCCAGAAAGGAAGUCUAGGUUAGACCAUGAAGAUAUGUUACACCACGUGGAAACCGAUCCCAGCAGCUAGCUCCAUAGAUGUGAAGGAGGCCAUGUUAGAGCCUCAGCACAGCCAAUCCACAGCACAAGCAGCCCCAGAGGAGAGCAGCAAAACUGCCAAGCUAAACCCAGCUAAUCCACAGAAUUAUAAAAGAGAAUAAUUUUAGGUUACUAAGUUUGGGAAUGAUUUAUUACGAAGUUAAAGUCUCAUAGAAUCACCAGCUAUCAUAAUUAUAGAUUAUUUUAUCUCACAUUAUCUAUUUUCCCUUCUUCCUGUAGUAGGAUUUUCCUUGAAGAACCCCACCCUUAAUUUAUUUGAUCCAGGUGAGGGUGACCUCCACCCUCCUGGCUUUUCCUAGAAGCUUUAAGAAGGCAUUGCUAGGGGCUGGGGUUGUGGCUCAGCGGUAGAGCGAUUGCCUAGCAUGUGUGAGGCACUGGGUUCGAUCCUCAGCACCACAUAAAAAGAAAUAAAAUAAAGAUAUUAUGUCCAUCUACAACUAAAAAAAUUAUUGAAGAAGGAGGAGGAGGAGAAGGCAUUGCUAAAUGAGAAAAUGAGAAGGUCUUGAGCCCAUAGCUGGUAGUGGCUUUCUUUCUCACCUAUUGAGGAACACCUGCCAGAGAAUGGAAUCUUAGGGAAGAAAACAGAAGACAAAAUGAGUCUUGACCCCAUUUUGGGGACCCCAGGAUCCAUCUGUUCCUGAAGCCUGAUCCAUGUCUGGACUUUAAAAUUGCCUAAGUCACCAUGCACAGCAGCGCACAUCUGUAAUACCAGCAUCUCAGGAGACUGAGGCAGGAAGAUCAUGAGUUCAAAGCCAGCCUCAGCAAAUAUAUAUAUAAAAAUGAUGUGACUCUGUGGUUUGGGUUCAACCACCAGUACCAAAAAAUAAAUUAAUAAAUUCACUAUUUUGUGUGAGAUUUUAGUUGGAUAUCUGUUAUUUACAACUGAUGAACAUAUAUUCUGAAGGUCUGAAAGUUUGACUAAGCAGCUCCAGGACUGUUAGGGUAGGACAGAGAAUGGGGUUCCUAGGGAGUAUGGGAAAAUAAAUUAAUUUUUCCUUGGCCUCUACUAUAUAGAAUGAGACACAGUCUAAAUACCUGUCCUGAAUACCUGUUACUCAUUGUGAUUGUGAUAAAGUGUUGUAAGGGAAAAUACCAGGGCAACCAAGAGUGUAUUGUUUCCUUCUUGAAGAAGUGACUUUUCCCCCCUGUGUAGGGAUCCAUAUCCAAGGCCUUGAGCGUGCUAGGCACACAUUCUACCAAUGAGCUACACUGCCAGCCCAGAAAGUUUCAUUUACACUGGGGGUGCGACUUCCCAUAGUCCCUAUCUUCCCCUCUAGUAUUGGCCUUGAUAUACGUGAUAUGGGCUGGGGUAGUGGCUCAGUUGUAGAUCACUUGCCUGGCAUGUGUGAG
rnacentral:lncRNA from 1 species